UGCACUGGCUGUUAGAUGGUGCUCUAGAGAUCCUAAGCAGUUAUUAUUUAUAUUCAAGAAGAAUCCUGACACAGCCUUGGGACUGCCAUGACAGCACUUCUCCCUGUACCUAGAGCUCUAUGGUCAGCUAGACUAUUGUACCACUUGGUCUGGCUAUAUACCUGUUGGGAGCUAUUAAGGCAACGCUAUUGUCCUGAUC